CCUGAAAUUGCUCCCUUUGCGCUACUCAGUGUGGCAGCACACUCCUCCCUUAGGGACGGGUUAAACGCAGAGAACAAAUUUCCCCACUGUGGGACUAUAAAGGGAUCUCUCCUUUCCUUUUUUUGUCUUUUUUUUAUUCUUGAAUCAAGGACACCAUCUUAAAUUGAGGGGAAGCCAAGCAGCGCUGGUUAGGGGAACGUGUGAUGAGCCUUGGGAGAUAUAUCCACUGGGAGGGAGUGAGGUGCUAUAACUCAUCUCAGGAUGGAUUCCCAUCAGUCCAAACUUCCAUCAAGCUCAAGAAGCUCAGUGUGCUUUUCAUUGAUUUGACUCAGAGUCGCCACAUCUCAGGAGAAAUACCUACAGCUCAAGAGGAUUUACUAUUGAUCCCCACUUCCUAGGUGGCAUUGGGGUGAUACACAUUUCUGCACCUGGCCGAAUAAUCGUUGACAAAACCAUCCUUUUGGGAGGAGCAAGGUUUCUUGGAACCACACAAACAGGAAGAGAGAAGAGAAACAAAUCCAACAAAUAAGGCCUGCCACAACAUAACGCAACAUGGCUGCUCAUCGUCCCCAGGAGGUAGCACGGGGGGAGGGCCCCGCAGCCUGCUGGCCAGCCAGCAGACCAUGUUUCUUUCUCACAUUUGGACCUGCUGACUCCAAAGAAUGUGAGGUUACCACUGAAGAAACCAAAAUACCUCUAGAUGGUGUGUAUUUAAGCAGACAGGAACAUUUUGACGGAUAUUGUUUUUUAAAGCUGUGUUGAUACCAACAAUCUCUUCAGGAC